rnacentral:rRNA from 1 species
UGGGGGAUAUUGCACAAUGGGCGCAAGCCUGAUGCAGCGACGCCGCGUGGGGGAUGAAGGCCUUCGGGUUGUAAACUUCUUUUGCUGUGAACAAGGCGCACUUUGGGGAGUGUUGAGUGCAGGGGUUGAUUAGCGCCGGCUAACUACGUGCCAGCAGCCGCGGUAAUCCGUAGGGCGCGAGCGUUGUCCGGAAUUAUUGGGCGUAAAGGGCUUGUAGGUGGCUGGUUGCGUCUGUCGUGAAAGCUCAUGGCUUAACUGUGGGUUUGCGGUGGGUACGGGCUGGCUUGAGUGCAGUAGGGGAGGCUGGAAUUCCUGGUGUAGCGGUGGAAUGCGCAGAUAUCAGGAGGAAUACCGGUGGCGAAGGCGGGACUCUGGGCGGUUACUGACACUGAGGAGCGAAAGCAUGGGGAGCAAACAGG